AUUGACUUGUCUACUUCUAUCAGAUUGAGAAGCAAACUUUUUCUCUCUUCUUCUUCGUCGUCGGCGACCUCCGACAAGUCGCAGGUCAGCCUGGUCUCUGUGGCUUCUAGCGAAGGAAGGCGAUAAGAGUUCCACACUGAAACGAUGACGGAUGAGGCGUCGGGGAAUCUGGAGUACGAUUUCUAUUGGAACCCAAAAAAGUGAAGGCAGAGACCAUUGUGAGGUCGAAUAUGGCUUGGAUUUACGGCCAGCAGAGGAAUGUCUCGGCUCAGUUGCUGCGUCUCUUUUUCCAUGACUGCUUCAUUGAGAGGCUCCAAACUUUCGAUCAAAUUUCAAUGUCCCGCGAAGAGUUUUGCCUAAAUUAGAACUCCGCGAAUCUGGGAACAACAAACACCGUCCACUUUCUUGUUCUGCUUGCUGCCGCAUCCAAUUGACUCUAUCAACUUCUUCUUCUGCCUUCACGCUCUCCAUCAGAUCGAGAUCUCCGAACGAAAGAGUUCGCAUGGUAAUCUUCAAUCCUCAAUCUAUCGCUUUUAGUUGGUCAUCCUUAUAUUUCAUUCGUUUCAAUCUCAACAUCUCGAUUCUAUAUACGUGUUCGUAGAGGUUCUGCAAGAUCAUACACUUCCUGCUUAUAUAUUGUUGUUUAUGAGCUUAUAUAUUUCUCGAAUCAGAAGCUGCUUCAAUCUCACAUGCAAUUGUUCUAGCAUUUGGUUGGGCUUUUUUUUAUCUAUAGUUGAGAUUGGUUGGGAGUUCAUGGAUCCCCCUUUAAGUAAUAGUAAUUGUUUGUUUGCGGACGAGAUGAAGAGUGCUAGAAGAGUAGGGGCAUUAAAGCAAUACAUUGUUGGGAGAAGCAGUGAAGCGACUUUUGCCGAUGCAUUUGAGAAGCAAGGAAUCGAUAAUACGAUAUCUCCGAGGAUUUGAUUCUACUAGAGAGGUGGAAUAUUAUCCAUUUAUUCAUUACCCUGUUGAUGCAAACAUAAAGGCUAUGUCUAACUCCAGCCAUAUCAGGUAUGCAUAUCUAUGAUUGAUAAUGCUUAUUUGUGAGAUUUUAAUAGAAGCAUUUAACAUAUGCAGACUAUGAGGGUGAUAUUUGGUAGCAGAAUGAUGCAUUGCAAUUGUCGUGCUUUUGUAGCAUAUUCUAGACAAAUAGCAGAACAUGAGAUUGAAGCUGUCAGGCCGUGAAAUGAAAAAUGCAGUGGCACCUCCAAGAUGUACAGAUCGAGGAUAGGUGAAGAGGGAGUUACAAGAAGAGACGCAACUGGGAGAGCAGGGACUGGAGGGUUGACACAGAAUAGUCUCAAAGUUGCAACAUACCUAUAUAAACGUUUGCUUAGAAGAAAAUUGAACAUUUUCUACUAUAAUUGUUUGUUGUCAAAAGGUGGCAGGCUAUGAACAGUUUGUCUCUUCCAAUUUGUAUGUUUUGAGCAGUUCAAUGGUUGUAUUUUUAAACGUUUAUAAACUAGCAAUACAUGUGAGAGGUAAGAGAUUAAUUAGA